UACGGGGGGGGCAAGCGUUGUUCGGAAUUACUGGGCGUAAAGGGCUCGUAGGCGGCCAACUAAGUCAGACGUGAAAUCCCUCGGCUUAACCGGGGAACUGCGUCUGAUACUGGAUGGCUUGAAUCCGGGAGAGGGAUGCGGAAUUCCAGGUGUAGCGGUGAAAUGCGUAGAGAUCGUGAGGAAGACCAGUGGCGAAGGCGGAUCUCUGGACAGUUCCUGACGCUGAGGCGCGAAGGCCAGGGGAGCAAACGGG
rnacentral:rRNA from 1 species